rfam:Rhizophagus irregularis DAOM 197198w jcf7180003179342, whole genome shotgun sequence.
UGACCUCAAAUCAGGUAGGAACACCCGCUGAACUUAAGCAUAUCAAUAAGCGGAGGAAAAGAAAAUAACAAUGAUUCCCCUAGUAACUGCGAGUGAAGAGGGACAAGCUCAAAUUUUAAAUCCAUCGGGUUUUACCCGAUCGAGUUGUAAUUUGAAGAGGCGUUUUCUGUGUUUCUGAUCAGUCCAAGUCCUUUGGGAUAAGGCAUCAUGGAGGGUGAGAAUCCCGUCCGGUUGAUCAGAUUCGCUUUACGAUACGCUUUCUAAGAGUCAAGUUGUUUGGGAUUGCAGCUUAAAAUGGGAGGUAAA